GUGCGGCUAACAGAGAGUCUCAUCUCUUUCAGAUCCAGUUUUGAAGAAAAAGAUUGCAAAAUAGGUAUGUGAUUUGAUUACCAUCUGAAUUUCAGCAUAUAUCAAUUUCAGCAUAUGAAAUAGAUCCAUAUAGUUUUAUAUUUUUAUGCAUGCAUAAUUCAGAUUAAAAUUAUUUUAAUCUUAUUCUCUACUGUGGUGUUUAAAAAAUAAAGUUUUGAAACACAUAUGCAUGCACCCAACCCUAAAUUCCAACAAUAAUUUUGUACUGGCCGAAGACGAGAGGUAUACACCUCGAGGCCCACCAGA
rnacentral:lncRNA from 1 species